CGCGGCCUAUCAGCUUGUUGGUGAGGUAAUGACUCACCAAGGCGUCGACGGGUAGCCGGCCUGAGAGGGUGACCGGCCACACUGGGACUGAGACACGGCCCAGACUCCUACGGGAGGCAGCAGUGGGGAAUAUUGCACAAUGGGCGCAAGCCUGAUGCAGCGACGCCGCGUGGGGGAUGAAUGCCUUCGGGUUGUAAACCCUUUUCAGGAGGGACGAAGCGAAAGUGACGGUACCUCCAGAAGAAGCCCCGGCCAACUACGUGCCAGCAGCCGCGGUAAUACGUAGGGGGCGAGCGUUGUCCGGAUUUAUUGGGCGUAAAGAGCUCGUAGGCGGCUCAGCAAGUCGGCCGUGAAAACCUGAGGCUCAACCUCAGGACGCCGGUCGAAACUGCUGUGGCUAGGGUCCGGUAGAGGAGAGUGGAAUUCCCGGUGUAGCGGUGAAAUGCGCAGAUAUCGGGAGGAACACCAGUAGCGAAGGCGGCUCUCUGGGCCGGCACCGACGCUGAGGAGCGAAAGCUAGGGGAGCAAACAGGAUUAGAUACCCUGGUAGUCCUAGCCGUAAACGUUGGGCACUAGGUGUGGCGGAGUCAUUGACAUCUGCCGUGCCGAAGCUAACGCAUUAAGUGCCCCGCCUGGGGAGUACGGA
rnacentral:rRNA from 1 species